GGCUUUGUAGCUCAGUUAAUGGAGCGGCGUCCGUAUGUGGGUUCGAGUCCCACCAAGGUUA
rnacentral:tRNA from 1 species